GAAAUGCGAUACGUAAUGUGAAUUGCAGAUUUCAGUGAAUCAUCGAAUCUUUGAACGCACAUUGCGCCCGCCAGUAUUCUGGCGGGCAUGCCUGUUCGAGCGUCAUUUCAACCAUCAAGCCCCCGGCUUGUGUUGGGGCCCUGCGGCUGCCGCAGCCCCCUAAAUCCAGUGGCGGGCUCGUCGUCGUACCGAGUGCAGUAAACAUCCUCGCUCAGGGCGCGCGUCGGGUUCCAGCCGUGAAACCCCCCACAUAUCAAGGUUGACCUCGGAUCAGGUAGGAAUACCCGCUGAACUUAA
rnacentral:misc_RNA from 1 species